rnacentral:rRNA from 1 species
UCUGCGGCUUUAUUUGACUCAACACGGGAAACCUCACCCGGCCCGGACACGGACAGGAUUGACAGAUUGAUAGCUCUUUCUCGAUUCCGUGGGUGGUGGUGCAUGGCCGUUCUUAGUUGGUGGAGCGAUUUGUCUGGUUAAUUCCGAUAACGAACGAGACUCUGGCAUGCUAACUAGUUACGCGACCCCCGAGCGGUCGGCGUCCCCCAACUUCUUAGAGGGACAAGUGGCGUUCAGCCACCCGAGAUUGAGCAAUAACAGGUCUGUGAUGCCCUUAGAUGUCCGGGGCUGCACGCGCGCUACACUGACUGGCUCAGCGUGUGCCUACCCUACGCCGGCAGGCGCGGGUAACCCGUUGAACCCCAUUCGUGAUGGGGAUCGGGGAUUGCAAUUAUUCCCCAUGAACGAGGAAUUCCCAGUAAGUGCGGGUCAUAAGCUUGCGUUGAUUAAGUCCCUGCCCUUUGUACACACCGCCCGUCGCUACUACCGAUUGGAUGGUUUAGUGAGGCCCUCGGAUCGGCCCCGCCGGGGUCGGCCCACGGCCCUGGCGGAGCGCUGAGAAGACGGUCGAACUUGACUAUCUAGAGGAAGUAAAAGUCGUAACAAGGUUUCCGUAGGA